rnacentral:rRNA from 1 species
CAUAGGUUAAUGAGGCGAACCGGGGGAACUGAAACAUCUAAGUACCCCGAGGAAAAGAAAUCAACCGAGAUUCCCCCAGUAGCGGCGAGCGAACGGGGAGCAGCCCAGAGCCUGAAUCAGUGUGUGUGUUAGUGGAAGCGUCUGGAAAGGCGCGCGAUACAGGGUGACAGCCCCGUACACAAAAAUGCACAUACUGUGAGCUCGAUGAGUAGGGCGGGACACGUGGUAUCCUGUCUGAAUAUGGGGGGACCAUCCUCCAAGGCUAAAUACUCCUGACUGACCGAUAGUGAACCAGUACCGUGAGGGAAAGGCGAAAAGAACCCCGGCGAGGGGAGUGAAAAAGAACCUGAAACCGUGUACGUACAAGCAGUGGGAGCACGCUUAGGCGUGUGACUGCGUACCUUUUGUAUAAUGGGUCAGCGACUUAUAUUCUGUAGCAAGGUUAACCGAAUAGGGGAGCCGAAGGGAAACCGAGUCUUAACUGGGCGUUAAGUUGCAGGGUAUAGACCCGAAACCCGGUGAUCUAGCCAUGGGCAGGUUGAAGGUUGGGUAACACUAACUGGAGGACCGAACCGACUAAUGUUGAAAAAUUAGCGGAUGACUUGUGGCUGGGGGUGAAAGGCCAAUCAAACCGGGAGAUAGCUGGUUCUCCCCGAAAGCUAUUUAGGUAGCGCCUCGUGAAUUCAUCUCCGGGGGUAGAGCACUGUUUCGGCAAGGGGGUCAUCCCGACUUACCAACCCGAUGCAAACUGCGAAUACCGGAGAAUGUUAUCACGGGAGACACACGGCGGGUGCUAACGUCCGUCGUGAAGAGGGAAACAACCCAGACCGCCAGCUAAGGUCCCAAAGUCAUGGUUAAGUGGGAAACGAUGUGGGAAGGCCCAGACAGCCAGGAUGUUGGCUUAGAAGCAGCCAUCAUUUAAAGAAAGCGUAAUAGCUCACUGGUCGAGUCGGCCUGCGCGGAAGAUGUAACGGGGCUAAACCAUGCACCGAAGCUGCGGCAGCGACGCUGAUGCGUUGUUGGGUAGGGGAGCGUUCUGUAAGCCUGUGAAGGU